AUUGAACGCUGGCGGCAUGCCUUACACAUGCAAGUCGAACGGCAGCACGGGGGCAACCCUGGUGGCGAGUGGCGAACGGGUGAGUAAUGCAUCGGAACGUGCCCAGUAGUGGGGGAUAACCCGGCGAAAGCCGGGCUAAUACCGCACACGACCUAAGGGUGAAAGCGGGGGACCGUAAGGCCUCGCGCUAUUGGAGCGGCCGAUGUCUGAUUAGCUAGUUGGCGGGGUAAAAGCCCACCAAGGCGACGAUCAGUAGCUGGUCUGAGAGGACGACCAGCCACACUGGGACUGAGACACGGCCCAGACUCCUACGGGAGGCAGCAGUGGGGAAUUUUGGACAGUGGGCGCAAGCCUGAUCCAGCCAUGCCGCGUGCGGGAAGAAGGCCUUCGGGUUGUAAACCGCUUUUGGCAGGAACGAAACGGCGCAAGCCAAUACCUUGCGCUAAUGACGGUACCUGCAGAAUAAGCACCGGCUAACUACGCGCCAGCCGCCGCCGUAAAAC
rnacentral:rRNA from 1 species